UGAGGAAUUUUGCGCAAUGGCCGCAAGGCUGACGCAGCAACGCCGCGUGGGUGAUGAAGGCCUUCGGGUCGUAAAGCCCUGUCAGGUGGGAAGAAAGGCAUUUUCUCGAACAGGGGAGGUGUUUGACGGUACCACCAGAGGAAGCACCGGCUAACUCCGUGCCAGCAGCCGCGGUAAUACGGAGGGUGCGAGCGUUAUUCGGAAUUACUGGGCGUAAAGCGCGUGCAGGCGGGAAGGUAAGUCUGAUGUGAAAGCCCUGGGCUUAACCCGGGAAGUGCAUUGGAAACUGCUUUUCUUGAGUACUGGAGAGGAAGGGGGAAUUCCCGGUGUAGAGGUGAAAUUCGUAGAGAUCGGGAGGAAUACCAGUGGCGAAGGCGCCCUUCUGGACGGUUACUGACGC
rnacentral:rRNA from 1 species